ncrna:unclassified sequences malK-I RNA
UAAAUCAGAAGUAUGCUACUCCACCAAACAUAGUAUGCUUCUGUUAAAAAAAGAGGAAAGCAACACCCGUCAGACUCACGGUGCGGCAGUGUGGAGACCUGUCGUAAUGCUUCCAGGAUUUUGCUUCCCGGUACGCGAGAAUGCACGCGAAAUUUAGGUGCGUUUAGAGUCGAGAAAUUAUGGCA